GUUAUAGGGUCAAGCGAAUAAGUGCAUGUGGUGGAUGCCUUGGCGAUUACAGGCGAUGAAGGACGCGAUAGCCUGCGAAAAGUUGUGGGGAGCUGGCAAAUAAGCAUUGAUCCACAAAUGUCCGAAUGGGGAAACCCGGCCUUUUAGGUCAUCCUAGACUGAAUACAUAGGUCUAGCGAAGCGAACGCGGCGAACUGAAACAUCUAAGUAGCUGCAGGAAAAGAAAUCAACCGAGAUUCCCAAAGUAGUGGCGAGCGAAAUGGGACCAGCCUUCAAGAUUUAGCACCGGUGUUAUCAGAACGGAAUGGAAAGUCCGGCCAUAGUGGGUGAUAGCCCCGUAUGAGAAAACCCUGGUGUGGAACUAAGCUUGAGAUAAGUAGGGCGGGACACGUGAAAUCCUGUCUGAAGAUGGGGGGACCAUCCUCCAAGGCUAAAUACUCGUAAUCGACCGAUAGUGAACCAGUACCGUGAGGGAAAGGCGAAAAGAACCCCGGGAGGGGAGUGAAAUAGAUCCUGAAACCGCAUGCAUACAAACAGUCGGAGCCUCGUAAGGGGUGACGGCGUACCUUUUGUAUAAUGGGUCAGCGACUUACAUUCAGUGGCAAGCUUAACCGAAUAGGGAAGGCGUAGCGAAAGCGAGUCCGAAUAGGGCGUUCAGUCGCUGGGUGUAGACCCGAAACCAAGUGAUCUAUCCAUGGCCAGGAUGAAGGUGCGGUAACACGUACUGGAGGUCCGAACCCACUAAUGUUGAAAAAUUAGGGGAUGAGCUGUGGAUAGGGGUGAAAGGCUAAACAAACUUGGAAAUAGCUGGUUCUCUCCGAAAACUAUUUAGGUAGUGCCUCGUGUAUCACCUUCGGGGGUAGAGCACUGUCAUGGUUGAAGGGUCCAUUGCGGAUUACUUCGCCAUAGCAAACUCCGAAUACCGAAGAGUGCAAUCACGGGAGACAGACAUCGGGUGCUAACGUCCGGUGUCAAGAGGGAAACAACCCAGACCGCCAGCUAAGGUCCCUAAAUAUUGCUAAGUGGGAAACGAAGUGGGAAGGCUAAAACAGUCAGGAGGUUGGCUUAGAAGCAGCCACCCUUUAAAGAAAGCGUAAUAGCUCACUGAUCGAGUCGUCCUGCGCGGAAGAUGUAACGGGGCUAAGCAAUAUACCGAAGCUGCGGAUGCGAGCUUGCUCGCAUGGUAGGAGAGCGUUCUGUAAGCCUGUGAAGGUGUCUUGUAAAGGAUGCUGGAGGUAUCAGAAGUGCGAAUGCUGACAUGAGUAGCGAUAAAGGGGGUGAAAGGCCCCCUCGCCGUAAGCCCAAGGUUUCCUACGCAACGUUCAUCGGCGUAGGGUGAGUCGGCCCCUAAGGCGAGGCAGAGAUGCGUAGCUGAUGGGAAGCAGGUUAAUAUUCCUGCACCGUCGUAUGAUGCGAUGGGGGGACGGAUCGCGGAAGGUUGUCCGGGUGUUGGAAGUCCCGGUCCCUGCAGUGGAGAAGGCGCUUAGGCAAAUCCGGGCGCGUAAUUCAAGGCUGUGGGGCGAGCGAACUUGUUCGCGAAGCAAUUGGAAGUGGUUCCAAGAAAAGCCUCUAAGCUUCAGUCAUACGAGACCGUACCGCAAACCGACACAGGUGGGCGAGAUGAGUAUUCUAAGGC
rnacentral:rRNA from 1 species